CUUCAAGUAAACGUCUAUGGCACGAUAAAGACCAUCAUCCAGGGGCCGGGCAUAUUCAGGAACAGCAGCAGCAAGAGCCUGAAACUUGGGGAGCUUCAAAUUCACAUCAGGAGCAACCUCUGCCAGGUAUCCAUCGAUCAGUUUGGCCACCAACGUGAUUGGUGUUAAUGAUGGCGAUCCAAUCAAAUGGCUAUCAUCUACUGAACAUGGAGACGCCCCACCUGUAAUUUGAUCCAUGGCAAG
rnacentral:misc_RNA from 1 species